CCUACGGGAGGCAGCAGUAGGGAAUUUUCCGCAAUGGGCGAAAGCCUGACGGAGCAAUACCGCGUGAGGGAAGAAUGCCUACGGGUUGUAAACCUCUUUUUUCAGGGAGGAACAUAAUGACGUGUACCUGAAGAAUAAGCAUCGGCUAACUCCGUGCCAGCAGCCGCGGUAAGACGGAGGAUGCAAGUGUUAUCCGGAAUCACUGGGCGUAAAGCGUCUGUAGGUGGUUUAAUAAGUCAACUGUUAAAUCUUGAGGCUCAACCUCAAAAUCGCAGUCGAAACUAUUAGACUAGAGUAUAGUAGGGGUAAAGGGAAUUUCCAGUGGAGCGGUGAAAUGCGUAGAGAUUGGAAAGAACACCGAUGGCGAAAGCACUUUACUAGGCUAUUACUGACACUCAGAGACGAAAGCUAGGGCAGCAAAUGGGAUUAGAUACCCCAGUAGUCCUAGCUGUAAACUAUGGAUACUAGAUGUUGAACAGAUCGACCUGUGCAGUAUCAAAAGCUAACGCGUUAAGUAUCCCGCCUGGGAAGUAUGCUCGCAAGGGUGAAACUCAAAGGAAUUGACGG
rnacentral:rRNA from 1 species